GACAGAGGCCCCAAGCGUUAGGCGGAAUCACUGGGCUUAAAGCGCGUGUAGGCGGAUCGUUAAGUGCCUUGUGAAAUCCUGCGGCUCAACCGCAGAACUGCUGGGCAUACUGGCGAUCUUGGGCCACUCAGGGGUCACUGGAACAAGCGGUGGAGCGGUGAAAUGCGUAGAUAUCGCUUGGAACGCCAAAGGUGAAGACAGGUGACUGGGGGUGUGCCGACGCUGAGACGCGAAAGCCAGGGGAGCAAACGGGAUUAGAUACCCCGGUAGUCCUGGCCCUAAACGAUGUCCACUGGAUCGCGGGACUUUUGACGGUCUCGCGGUCGGAGCAAAAGUGUUAAGUGGACCGCCUGGGAAGUACGGUCGCAAGGCUAAA
rnacentral:rRNA from 1 species